rnacentral:rRNA from 1 species
CCUACGGGCAGCUGCAGUGGGGAAUAUUGGACAAUGGGCGAAAGCCUGAUCCAGCCAUGCCGCGUGUGUGAAGAAGGCCUUCGGGUUGUAAAGCACUUUCAGUGGGGAAGAAAGCCUUGGGGCUAAUACCCUCGAGGAAGGACAUCACCCACAGAAGAAGCACCGGCUAACUCCGUGCCAGCAGCCGCGGUAAUACGGAGGGUGCGAGCGUUAAUCGGAAUUACUGGGCGUAAAGCGCGCGUAGGUGGUCUGAUAAGCCGGUUGUGAAAGCCCCGGGCUCAACCUGGGAACGGCAUCCGGAACUGUCAGGAUAGAGUGCAGGAGAGGAAGGUAGAAUUCCCGGUGUAGCGGUGAAAUGCGUAGAGAUCGGGAGGAAUACCAGUGGCGAAGGCGGCCUUCUGGACUGACACUGACGCUGAGGUGCGAAAGCGUGGGUAGCAAACAGGAUUAGAUACCCGGGUAGUC